rnacentral:rRNA from 1 species
GAUGAACGCUAGCGGCAGGCCUAACACAUGCAAGUCGAGGGGUAGAGGCUUUCGGGCCUUGAGACCGGCGCACGGGUGCGUAACGCGUAUGCAAUCUGCCUUGUACUGAGGGAUAGCCCAGAGAAAUUUGGAUUAACACCUCAUAGUAUUUUAGUGUGGCAUCACAUUAUUAUUAAAGGUUACGGUACAAGAUGAGCGUGCGUCCCAUUAGCUAGUUGGUAUGGUAACGGCAUACCAAGGCUACGAUGGGUAGGGGUCCUGAGAGGGAGAUCCCCCACACUGGUACUGAGACACGGACCAGACUCCUACGGGAGGCAGCAGUGAGGAAUAUUAGUCAAUGGUCGCAAGACUGAACCAGCCAUGCCGCGUGCAGGAUGAAGCAUCUAUGGUGUGUAAACUGCUUUUGUACGGGAAGAAACACCGCUACGUGUAGCGGCUUGACGGUACCGUAAGAAUAAGGAUCGGCUAACUCCGUGCCAGCCGCCGCCGUAAAAC